rnacentral:rRNA from 1 species
UACGUAGGGUGCGAGCGUUGUCCGGAAUUAUUGGGCGUAAAGGGCUCGUAGGCGGUUUGUCGCGUCGGGAGUGAAAACCCAGGGCUUAACCCUGGGCUGGCUUCCGAUACGGGCAGACUAGAGGUAUGCAGGGGAGAACGGAAUUCCUGGUGUAGCGGUGAAAUGCGCAGAUAUCAGGAGGAACACCGGUGGCGAAGGCGGCUUCCGUGGCCUGUUCUUGACGCUGAGGCGCGAAAGCUAGGGGAGCAAACGGG